UCAAUAAGCGGAGGAAAAGAAACUAACAAGGAUUCCCCUAGUAACGGCGAGUGAAGAGGGAAGAGCCCAAGAUUGAAAGCUGGCGUCUUCGACGUCCGCAUUGUAAUCUCAAGAAGCGUUUUCCGCUUCGGACCAUGCCUAAGUCCCUUGGAAAAGGGCAUCAUAGAGGGUGAUAAUCCCGUACAUGGCAUGGAGCGCCCGAAGCUUUGUGAUACGUUUUCUAAGAGUCGAGUUGUUUGGGAAUGCAGCUCAAAAUGGGUGGUAAAUGCCAUCUAAGGCUAAAUAUUGGGGAGAGACCGAUAGCGAACAAGUACAGUGAUGGAAAGAUGAAAAGAACUUUGAAAAGAGAGUUAAACAGUACGUGAAAUUGCCAAAAGGGAAGGGUAGGAGGUCAGAGAUGCGUCUUGGAAUUCAGCCUUGCUUUUUGCUUGGUGUUUUUUCCAAGUUUGCAGGCCAACGUCGGUUUUGGGCACUGGAGAAGGGUGGAAGGAACGUGGCACCCCUCGGGGUGUGUUAUAGCCUUCUACUGGAUACAGCGACCGAGACCGAGGACAGCAGCGUACUCGCAAGAGCGGGCCCUCGGGCACCUUUACGCUUAGGGCGUUGGCAUAAUGGCCCUCUACCACCCGUCUUGAAAC
rnacentral:rRNA from 1 species